UCUUCAGAUCUCCAAGAUCAAAGAGACCUUUAAUGAGUGUCUUAAAAACUUUUCUACAUGAUCCUCUGGUGGAAUGGAGUAAACCAGUGAAAGGGCAUUCCAAAGCACCACUGAAUGAAACCGGGGAAGUUGUCAAUGAAAAGGCCAAGACCCAUGUUCUUGACAUCGAGCAGCGACUGCAAGGUGUAAUCAAGACCCGAAAUAGAGUGACAGGGCUGCCGUUAUCUAUUGAAGGACAUGUGCAUUACCUUAUACAAGAAGCUACUGAUGAAAACUUACUAUGCCAGAUGUACCUUGGUUGGACUCCAUAUAUGUGAAAUGAAAUUACUUCAAAGAAUAUGUUAAUUAUCUAAAAUUAAUGCAUUUGGUAUUAAUCUGUGAUUAUAUCUAUUCAGUUCUAAAGUACAACAUAAAUAAGUUUCUUUAUGUUCUCAGAGCAACUGGUAUUAACUCCCUUAUUGUUAAUAAUAUUUAAAAUAAUAUAUGUUGUUAUUAAGAAAUAAACUUUGUUU